GGACAUAAAGAGGAUCUGGUUAUGGCUCCUGACACUCAGUUCAUCAGCAGGGCUGAUCUGGCUGAUCUUGCUGGCUAGGCUGGUGCCGCCUCUUCUCUCACUUUUCCAUGUGUGUCCUUCCAAGAAACUGUAGGGCCAUUUGAAGAUGACCACCUUAACUGAUGGAGGAGCAUUCUUCUUCCAUCAAGGGCAGUUGAAAGGUCCUGAACCUCUGAACAAGCUCUCAUGCUCCACUAUUUUGUAAUAGUGUCACAGGCUCGUGACCAAUCUUUGAAAUAUGGAACCUUGGAUCCAAAUUAU
rnacentral:snRNA from 1 species